rnacentral:rRNA from 1 species
AUUGAACGCUGGCGGCAGGCCUAACACAUGCAAGUCGAACGGUAACAGGAAGAAGCUUGCUUCUUUGCUGACGAGUGGCGGACGGGUGAGUAAUGUCUGGGAAACUGCCUGAUGGAGGGGGAUAACUACUGGAAACGGUAGCUAAUACCGCAUAACGUCGCAAGACCAAAGAGGGGGACCUUCGGGCCUCUUGCCAUCGGCUGUGCCCAGAUGGGAUUAGCUAGUAGGUGGGGUAACGGCUCACCUAGGCGACGAUCCCUAGCUGGUCUGAGAGGAUGACCAGCCACACUGGAACUGAGACACGGUCCAGACUCCUACGGGAGGCAGCAGUGGGGAAUAUUGCACAAUGGGCGCAAGCCUGACGCAGCCAUGCCGCGUGUAUGAAGAAGGCCUUCGGGUUGUAAAGUACUUUCAGCGGGGAGGAAGGGAGUAAAGUUAAUACCUGUGCUCAUUGACGGUACCCGCAGAAGAAGCACCGGCUAACUCCGUG